UUUAUAUAAAAGUAUUAUUUUGAAUUUUGUAUCAUUUGCUUUUGUUAAUCAUUAUCCUUAUUUCAAAUGACUGCUAAUGAAUAUUUACAAAAAAUCGUAUUAGCAAUUCAAGGAUCUGAUGGUGAAUUAUUAUCGAUGCUGUUAUCCUUAACACAUCAAGAAAACUUCAUAUAUAUAGAUGAUCAAACGAUAUAUGAAUGUGAAUAUUUAGGGGAACCAUACAAAGAAAUUAUUCCAUUGUAUAUAAAGUGUGUAAAGUCUCUUAAAAAUUUAGAUUUUUUACAGGCAUUUGAUUACCAGACAAACUUAAUACAAUUUUUUAUCAAAUAUCUUCAAAAUAAAAAUGAUGAAAAUUGGAUGCUGCCUAUUAUGUAUCAAAUCUGUUUAGAUUUGAGAAAGUUGGCCUCUAAAAUUGAAGCUGAAAGUAUUAAGAGUGGCGCUCCUAAGCAUGGGUUGUACUUGGAGAAAGCAUCUGAUACUCUAUUAGGUUGUUUUCGUGUAUGUGCCACAGACAACUUUUCUUCUGCUCAAUACUCAAAAAAAUGGGGUAUGUUAUAUCUGGUCAAUCAACUUUUUAAGAUAUACUUCAAGAUUAACAGAUUACCUCUCUGUAAGCCUCUGAUAAGAGCUGUGGAAAAUUCAAAAAGCUUGGAAAAUUAUCCAUUAUCUCAAAUUGUUACAUACAAGUUCUAUGUUGGACGCAAAGCUUUUUAUGAUUUGGAUUAUGAAAAAGCUAACGUUUUUCUUUCCUUCUCCUUCCAGCAUUGCAACAAAUAUAUCACCAAAAACAUUAGACUCAUCCUCAUAUAUUUAAUCCCUGUCAAAAUAUUACUAGGUUAUAAUCCGAGUCAUGGAGUUUUAUCGAAAUAUGACUUACUUCCUUUCGAACCUAUCAUUCAAUCAAUCAAAGAUGGAAAUUUAGGGAUGCUUGAACGUUCUAAAGAGGCUAACAAGAAAUUUUUCAUCCAAUCCGGAAUUUAUCUUUUUAUGGACAAGCUUAAAAUUGUGUGCAUCAGAAAUCUGUUUAAAAAAGUACUGGUCCGUGCUUUUGGAAUUUCUCAAGCCGGUGUUUAAAACAUGCAAAAUCUUCUGGGUCCUCGGAUUAUCGUUUACUUUAGGAUAUUAACUGCUUGAACAUGAAAUUUUCGGAAUAGAUAAAAUAUUUAACUGCUUAUUAUAUACUUUUUUUAAAAAUAAUACGUCAAUAAAUACUACUGGCGAAAAUGUUUUAAAUUUGAAAUAGCAUGAAUUUUGACUUAAGUUUUUUAAAGCAUAAGAUUUUUUCAUGUUUGGCUUUCUUUUCGAAAUUUUUCUUCUUAUCUAUUAUUUUAUUUACCAAUCAAUCACAAAAAUAUUAUGGUGUAGAAAGGGAAUAAUCUUAAUAACGAAUAUUAGUUAUAAAAUUAAAUUCAAUGAUAAUUGCUUAUAUAUAUUUUUUUAAAACUAAAUUUUAAAAAAAGAUUUUUAAUAUUGGGGUCGUUUCAAAUCGACAUAACUUCCUUUUUGACCGCGCUCAAUUUCGCAGGUUAUGAAGAAGCCGAUUGUGAUUUAGAUGAAAUUGAAUGCCUUUUAGCGAACCUCAUAUAUGAGGGUAAGAUCAAAGGUUACAU